UACGGGGGGGCAAGCGUUGUUUGGAAUUACUGGGCGUAAAGGGCUCGUAGGCGGCCAACUAAGUCGGACGUGAAAUCCCCAGGCUCAACCUGGGAACUGCGUCCGAUACUGGAUGGCUAGAGUCCGGAAGAGGAGAGUGGAAUUCCUGGUGUAGCGGUGAAAUGCGCAGAUAUCAGGAAGAACACCCGUGGCGAAGGCGGCUCUCUGGGACGGUACUGACGCUGAGACGCGAAAGCGUGGGGAGCGAACAGG
rnacentral:rRNA from 1 species